rnacentral:misc_RNA from 1 species
UGCAAACUACAGAAGUUCAAGGUAGUAAGUGACUACAGCACUAGGGAGUGUGUGAGCGGGGAGGCAGUGGGCUGCCAGAACCCCUUCCCCUACAGCACCCUGCAGGAGUGUCAGGAUGACUUCAAUGGCCUUUUGGACAUCUGUGAAAAGCUGCAGCCAUGUGUGAAUGGUGGAGAGUGUCUCCAGGUGCAGAAGCUGGACAGUGACCACCAGCGUGUCCGGGGCUACAAGUGUGACUGCCACGGCACAGGCUUCUACGGACACCAUUGUGAACACAAAUGUCACAAACAUCCCUCAAGUGACAACCCUCUCACUGAAGCCUGUCUCUUCUGAGGUGACCUCAUUCUGAUGCGGAGCCUACCACACCAGUGCCAACUACAUGUAUACAGUUACCAUGGUAACACUCAUCCAUUCUGUAACUAAGGAAACUAGUGUGUUAUAAGAAUUACAGUUCCAGAAACCAUAAAUCUACUGAAAUUGAGAUUAGUUUGAGAAACUAUGUAAUUAUUUCAUGUAGUCAGAAUGUGUACAUGAUUCCACUUGAAAAGAAUUCUUCCAAGAUUUGUGUGAUUAUUUUAGGUCCCAGUGACCUGAGAAUAUUUUGUGAUACCAAAAAAUAUGUUGCUGAUGGUAUGUAAUUACUGAUAUAUGAUCAAUAAGGAGUAUGUUCUCUGUACAAUGUAAUCCCAUUCUGGUGCUAAUGACAUGUAUGUGGUACUGUUGAUAAUGCAGAUCUAAUGGAGAAAACACACUGCCUUACAAACUGGUAUGUUAAGUUUACUUGUAAGUAAUACAGAAAUAUUGAACUUGUGUUAAUAACCAACAAUCUGUUCAUAUUAGAUUGUCAUCCACUUUUGUCCAAAACAUGGGUGAUGGGCAUUACAUUUUUAUAUCUGAUUUUGGUGCUAAACAAACUGUUUAAGGCAUCUGUGUUCAUCUGUCAACUGAUCCCUGUGAAGGUUGUGCAUGGUAAACAUUUGUACUUAUGGACAGUGAGAAUCUCGUUAAUCCAUUCAUGCGCAUCACUAAUUAUGACAAGGUAUUUGGCUACCUUAACAGAAUCAUAGUGUAUUUUAUCAAGGAUGGUAAACGGAAAUAGGAUUUUCUCUUAUUGUACUUGGGAACCCUAAAUAGAUAAGCAGCAGCUUGUUGUUAGUGAAGCUUUCAGGUCUAAAAUAUAUUGAGCAAAGUAUGGCUUUACAUUAUUAUAUUUAGAUGGCAAAUCUCUUCAUUCUGGUGAUGAUCGGAAGUCCUGUUAUAUGUUAUUACACUAUGUUGUUAUAUUGUUGUAUUGUACUGGUUCGUAUUACAUCUCCAGCUGUUAGUGCUAUUGCAUGUACUCAAAUGUAUACAUUCAGCUUGUAUUGGAUGCAUUUGUGACUCUAUAUUCAACAUGGUAAAGGUCAAGGGUGCUUUUAAGGAUGCAAUGUAUGAGCGUUUAUGUAUGACUACCAAUUCCAUUGGUCUGAAGUAAAUUGACUUAUUUAGGAUUUUUAUAAAAUACAAAUAUGUGGAUAUGGUUUGUAUAGGAGCACCUGACAAAAAGCAUGCUCAUUGGUCAGGUGUGUUUUAGUAUUUUUAUGAAAAAAGUUAUUGUCAGUGCAAAUCAUUUACUGAAAUGUAACCUGAACAUUGAAUAGUAGCGUGGCAAUAUGUUUCCAAUGUCCAACUUUAUAUUCAUUUCAAAUGAGAAAGCUUUUGGUUCAUUAUGUCAGAGUUGUAUUAUCUGACAUAUUAAAUCAAAGUUAGUUUUAGUUAUUUCCAUAAAAAUUAUUUUUGCAAUCUUAACAUUUUCCUGUUAUGUGAUACCCAAAUUAUUUAAUUUGUUAACUAUAUCUUGUUUCAACCAGACAGGGCCAAAGAAUACUUAUUCCAUUCCACACUGUUGACAAACUCAGGAUGUAAGAAUGUGAUUGUCACUGGGACCAUUGUGUACCAGUAUCAGGAUUAGGAUUACCUGUACCUUUCAACACUUCAUAUGUAGGAACUAAAUAGUUUUCAAUAUGCCCCUUAUUUGAAUUCCUUGCAUUUUUGCUAUUAACCAAUUAUUCCAUUGUAGAGAUCUGUUUGACAUGUUUGGUUAAGGCUUGGCCACGGAUUGUGUACCUUGGUAUUUUCUUACAGUAAGCAACAUGUUGUACCUGGUCAUUGAACUGCUUCCCCAUUACUAUCCAUGUUCCAGUGAUCACUUAUUAUAUGCAUAACUACAGUUUACAGCUUCAUAUCAAUCUAAAACAAAAUGGUGCUCUAUUCUGCACUGCCCUCACAAGCUAUGUCAGACAGCAGAUGACAGAAUUUCAUGAAACUUUUAUACUACCUUGUUCCCAAAAGCUUACCUUUACAUGUCUCUUCAGCCAAAUGUGUUUAGAAAGGUAAACAUAAUAGUUACAUAUUAGAAGCAGUGGAUGUUAGAUAGUCAAAUGAAGCAGUUCGCAACAAUAAUUAUGCUACUAUCUUUUUCACCUCACCACAAUCGUUUACUAAUGUUCGAAAA